CGGGGAAGACUGGGAAGAGCCAUAUGAUACCAGUAUGUAUCAUUUCAGUGAGCAUGUGGCUCCAGGAAGAGAGAGAGUAAGAGCUUGAGUGAAGCUCACAGGAACCAGAGCCUGUUGCAGAAGUGGUGCAAAAAGCAGGACAGGUUCAUCGCCAAAUGUAUAAAGGGUAUGAAGUCUCUGAAAGCCAUAGUUAGCUGCUCCUCUUCCAGCACAGCAGUGCCA
rnacentral:pre_miRNA from 1 species